rnacentral:rRNA from 2 species
UGGGGAAUAUUGCACAAUGGGCGAAAGCCUGAUGCAGCGACGCCGCGUGGGGGAUGACGGCCUUCGGGUUGUAAACCUCUUUCAGCAAGGAAGAAGCGAAAGUGACGGUACUUGCAGAAGAAGCGCCGGCUAACUACGUGCCAGCAGCCGCGGUAAUACGUAGGGCGCAAGCGUUGUCCGGAAUUAUUGGGCGUAAAGGGCUUGUAGGUGGCUUGUCGCGUCUGCCGUGAAAACUCGAGGCUUAACCUUGGGCGUGCGGUGGGUACGGGCAGGCUAGAGUGCGGUAGGGGAGACUGGAAUUCCUGGUGUAGCGGUGAAAUGCGCAGAUAUCAGGAGGAACACCGAUGGCGAAGGCAGGUCUCUGGGCCGUUACUGACACUGAGAAGCGAAAGCAUGGGGAGCGAACAGG